rnacentral:rRNA from 1 species
UACGUAGGGUCCGAGCGUUGUCCGGAAUUACUGGGCGUAAAGAGCUCGUAGGUGGUUUGUCGCGUUGUUCGUGAAAACUCACAGCUUAACUGUGGGCGUGCGGGCGAUACGGGCAGACUGGAGUACUGCAGGGGAGACUGGAAUUCCUGGUGUAGCGGUGGAAUGCGCAGAUAUCAGGAGGAACACCGGUGGCGAAGGCGGGUCUCUGGGCAGUAACUGACGCUGAGGAGCGAAAGCGUGGGUAGCAAACAGG